GACGAACGCUGGCGGCGUGCUUAACACAUGCAAGUCGAACGGAAAGGCCCUGCUUUUGUGGGGUGCUCGAGUGGCGAGCGGGUGAGUAACACGUGAGUAACCUGCCCUUGACUUUGGGAUAACUUCAGGAAACUGGGGCUAAUACCGGAUAGGAGCUCCUGCUGCAUGGUGGGGGUUGGAAAGUUUCGGCGGUUGGGGAUGGACUCGCGGCUUAUCAGCUUGUUGGUGGGGUAGUGGCUUACCAAGGCUUUGACGGGUAGCCGGCCUGAGAGGGUGACCGGGCACAUUGGGACUGAGAUACGGCCCAGACUCCUACGGGAGGCAGCAGUGGGGAAUAUUGCACAAUGGGCGGAAGCCUGAUGCAGCAACGCCGCGUGCGGGAUGACGGCCUUCGGGUUGUAAACCGCUUUCGCCUGUGACGAAGCGUGAGUGACGGUAAUGGGUAAAGAAGCACCGGCUAACUACGUG
rnacentral:rRNA from 1 species